UUUAGACAUUCCUGUAAUUCUAGCAGGCUGUAACAGAAACUUUACCCUGCUUCUCAGCACAUUUCAAAUACUUCUCGGAUUUUAAUAUUUAAUAUUUUACUUCUCGAUGAUGCCAGAUGGCGUGGAAGGUUCAGAGUCUAGGUCUGCACGUGAUCUACAGCUGAACCACAGACAACCGGGCAGAUCCACCAGCUUGGAAAAGGGAGCAAAAACCCUAAAGCACAGAUGAGCCCAUUGCCCUCUCCUCGUCGGUGGCUUUCAGGGCACGGAAGAAUUCAAGAUGAGGGCAAAGCAUCCGGGAAAACUCGGUGGCAGCCAGUGGAGACCCUCCCAGCUGUCAGCAAGGAGGAAGCACGCCCUCCUGGGUAGCUGCCCUCGCAGCUGCGUUAGCGUGCUUUCAGAGCCAGGCCCCAGAUCACCCGAACGAUAGGCAAAGAAUUUGUGCUGCUCUCAUCACUCCCUGGCUAUUACUGCUUAGGGAGCGGCACAUUCUAUUAAAGAGCUGACAACCGGUGUCGGCGUAAAUACUUAUUUUCUGAAAUUGUUAGCGCGACGAGCCUCUUCUCGAGUCAAAUUUUAUGCAGCUUUUCAUCAAGCAAGGUGCUCAGGGCUCCCCUCCAGAAGCAGGUACAUGAAAGAAAUGUAUUUUCUGCAGCCACUGAACUGGGAGCAUCUGGAUAUUAGUCCAAGUACUAGGAAACCACAGGGAGUUUUGUGAGAACACAAACCCUGGCCAGGCAGCAGGGGUAUAAUCUUCCCCAGCCAAACUUUUCUGUGCAGGGACAUCCCUUGCAGCAUGCAGCAGCCACCAGCCCGUGCCACCAGUGUCACCGGGAGCCCAGCAAUCCCUCCCAAAGCCCCAGCACAAGUGCUGGCAUGGGCAAGGAGCAGGUAUACCUUAAGAAACAGGCCUUAAGAAAUGCUUUCAUGGAACAGCCGCCCAGAGCAACAGACAAACUUAAAUGACAGUCCCAUUUCAGGAGUGCCCUGGAGAGGAAAAGGCUACGCUUUGAAACAGCCCUAGCCAGGCCUUUUCAGCUCCCCAGCAUGACUUUCACUGGUAACCUGGCAUCAGCUCUUCCUUUGAAGUUUGAAAUGGUGCAAAACUGUCUGAUUUGUACCCAUUUUUGGUGAUCUGUUUGAAAUACCCUCUCACAGUACCAAUGAUGCUGUGUAGGUUAAGCUCUUAUCUCAGGAUACACUGGCAGGGUAACGGGGAGAAAGAAUGAGCGUUUCUCAGACUCAGAAUAUGCUUGCUUGCACUGUACCUUAACAGGCCCCAACAUCAUUGUAUCCUAUAUAAAGACUCAGUUCAAAAUAUGAAGGAUAGAAACUGUUUCUAAAAGUUAAUAUUUCUGCAGUGAUGUAAAAUCCAUAGGGGCCACAAACGAACUUCAAUCCAUUUCUCUCUAUAUGGAGAAGUAUUUCUUAGCUGUUGGCUUCUCUAACAGUUCAAAGCCUCUCCCUAUACACGUUACUAAUAAUAUUUUCACUACACA